AAACAAUCAGUUGUUCCACGGCCACAAAGUUUAUCCCCAUUGAUAAGUAAUGAGAAUGGAUCAAACUCCCAGUCAUUAGGAUUAGCGGUGACAACAUCCAUAUGCAUUCCAACGAAAGACAAGAUCUUCCCAGGUUCAGUGCCUGGGUACUCCACAAUAAGAUUGCCUCGGCCAGGGAAAUAACUGACAUGAUUCACAAUCAAGGGACCUCCUCCUGUGGUGGUGCUCAAAGGAAGGAGGGAAUCCUGCACAUGCUUCACCACCCUGUCUUCCUCGGGGAUCAGAUCUGGUGGGUUGUUUUGAACAUGUUUAGACUCUCCGAUGAGCUUUCCCAGAAGGGAAACAAAGGACUCCUUGUUCAGUUCUCCAAGGGUUUCUUCAACCCCAGCCAUUAAGAGAGUGCAAGUUAUCCAAGAUGCUACUUGGUUCUCAGAUCACAGACCAGCGAGGAAGAGAAAAACAUACCCCUAUAUGUAAUAUAGGCAAAUUCAGU
rnacentral:misc_RNA from 1 species